UUCAAAUGAUAUGCUAUUAAAUACUAGAUUUGAUAAUAUCACAUUUAGUGGUCCUAAUUAAUUAAGAAAAUACCCCAAAUUUAUAUUGACAUAAAUCUUAAUAGAGGCUACAUUGACAAUAAGUGGAAACCCUCUUAAUGAUACAAUUAAUUUUUGCGAAUUAAGUUCAUUGAUAUGGUGAGAUAUUUUUUAUCAUAUUUGAGUGAGAUGGAAAUGAAUAGUGUCUAGCUACAAGUCUAUAUAUAGAGAUACAAUCUUGAAUACUUCUGGACGCUCAAACAGAAACGGGAAUAAGAAGUUUGUAUCUGACCUUAUGGAGUCGAAAGCCAUUCUUCUUUGCCUCAUGUUGAUUCUGCAGCUAGGAAACUCCAUUCAUGUUGAGCAGUGCAGGCAGGAAGCUUCUUUUACGAGCCCCAAUUGCACAAAAGCAACUUGCCAAAGUGCUUGCCAGAAGUCGUGGGGAGAUGACGUCCUGCAUGUGGUAUGUAGGAUCACAGGCAUAACCUUGGAAACUUGUUACUGCAUCGUAUGUGCCUAGAGUUGCACUAAACCAUCAUGUAAGGCAAUGAAUAUUGAUGUGAUCCGGUAAUAAAGUCCUUUCGCAACAUGCUUGCGAUAAACUACA